rnacentral:rRNA from 1 species
GACGAACGCUGGCGGCGUGCUUAACACAUGCAAGUCGAACGGAAAGGCCCUGCUUUUGUGGGGUGCUCGAGUGGCGAACGGGUGAGUAACACGUGAGUAACCUGCCCUUGACUUUGGGAUAACUUCAGGAAACUGGGGCUAAUACCGGAUAGGAGCUCCUGCUGCACGGUGGGGGUUGGAAAGUUUCGGCGGUUGGGGAUGGACUCGCGGCUUAUCAGCUUGUUGGUGGGGUAGUGGCUUACCAAGGCUUUGACGGGUAGCCGGCCUGAGAGGGUGACCGGCCACAUUGGGACUGAGAUACGGCCCAGACUCCUACGGGAGGCAGCAGUGGGGAAUAUUGCACAAUGGGCGGAAGCCUGAGGCAGCAACGCCGCGUGCGGGAUGACGGCCUUCGGGUUGUAAACCGCUUUCGCCUGUGACGAAGCGUGAGUGACGGUAAUGGGUAAAGAAGCACCGGCUACUACGUG